rnacentral:lncRNA from 1 species
AUGGGAGGAAGGCACCCCGAUGGGCAGCUUCACCUCUGGACCAAACACGUGCCCCUGGUUCCUGUCCUUGGCCCCAUCUCAGACCUCCACCCGUGCGUACCUGCCGUGUGCUCAGGCACAUGCGAGGCACGUCCGUGGGCCCUGGCCCGCAGCUGCGAAGGCGCUGUUCCUGUUCAUCCCGUGGGGCGCUCGGGAGCUCCUCCCUACGAGGAAGACCAAGAGGCUCCUCUGGAGCCGGGCGGCUCAGGAUUGAGCUCAGUGCCUCUGGUUUGUGAACAGGGAAGGGAGGCAGGAAGCUGGUGUUGGCUGGACAAGCUGUGUUCCCUGGGGCGGCCACAGUUUUCUUCGAAGUUGUCUGCCGUGGGCUAUCUUUUCCUAGGCUGCACUGCACACAGCAGGUGCUCCGUGGAUACUGACCCCACUGGUUGGUUCUCUCUGUCCCCUCCUCCCGACGGGCAGCCCCGAGGGCUGACCCUUCACCCCGCACCCUGUCCCCCCAUCCUCCUGCCCGAUCCAGCCUGUGGACUUCUGUCCCUGGGACGUCAAGGCACCAGGAACGUGCCUGUGUUUUCCACCGAGAGACGAAUGCGUGGAUUGCAUUCCAAGGCACGGGUAGCAAGCCGAGGCACCUGCUGCAUUGCAGUCAUGUCUGACACGAGCCAAGAUCAUGUCCUCGGUUCUGCAUUUGCCUCGGGUUUAGCAGACUUUAGAGGGCGCCUCGCCUGCCGGUGGGCUCCAGAGCGGGUGGCUGGCAACCGUGAAGAGCCCCUCACGGCGAGUUGGGACCUUGGGGCUGCCUGCGGAUGCUGUCGGUUCCAGGAAGUACUAAAUGGCUUGCCUCCCAGCACCCCUCCUUCCAUAGUCUCUUCCUAUCCAGUUCUACUCAUCCGUCCCAACACAAGCCCCGUGUCCCUGGGGCUUCCGCAGCCCUCUCCACCGUGCCACAGCCCUUCCUCCUUCCAAUGCGCCCUCUCGUCCAAGCUCCCCACUCCUCAAGGCCCAGUCCAUUUCCAUCUCCCCCAGAAGCUGCCCAGGGCCGUGCCAGUGCCCCCGAUUGCCCGCUUGCUCCUUGGGUAUGGCCCGCACCGGCCAUUCUUCCCUCUGCACAGCUGGUCUUCCUCAGCAGGUUCUAAGUGA